rnacentral:rRNA from 1 species
GACGAACGCUGGCGGCGUGCUUAACACAUGCAAGUCGAACGGUAAGGCCCUUCGGGGUACACGAGUGGCGAACGGGUGAGUAACACGUGGGUGAUCUGCCCUGCACUUCGGGAUAAGCCUGGGAAACUGGGUCUAAUACCGGGUAGGACCACUGCCUGCAUGGGUGGUGGUGGAAAGCUUUUGCGGUGUGGGAUGGGCCCGCGGCCUAUCAGCUCGUUGGUGGGGUGAUGGCCUACCAAGGCGACGACGGGUAGCCGGCCUGAGAGGGUGACCGGCCACACUGGGACUGAGAUACGGCCCAGACUCCUACGGGAGGCAGCAGUGGGGAAUAUUGCACAAUGGGCGCAAGCCUGAUGCAGCGACGCCGCGUGAGGGAUGACGGCCUUCGGGUUGUAAACCUCUUUCAGCACAGACGAAGCGCAAGUGACGGUAUGUGCAGAAGAAGGACCGGCCAACUACGUGCCAGCCGCCGCGGUAA